GGCAAAGAAAGGGUUGAACCAAUAUUAGUAGGACUACAGCCUACCGCCUAUUUCGGCCACUUUACC
rnacentral:tRNA from 1 species